rnacentral:lncRNA from 13 species
AUGUACCCCAGAGAUGAGAGGCUGCCUGGCAGAACUGUUGGUGGAUGUGGCUUGGGCUCUUGGGGUCUUGGGGCCUGGAUGCAAUAUGAUCUGACCCCGUGCUACGCAGACCACCCAGCUCAUAGCCCUGGCUGCCGCCAGCGCCUGCAAUUUCUCAAGAGAUGGCAUCUUGCUACGUUGCCCAGGCUGAUCCUGAACUUCUGGACUCAAGUGAUCCUCCCACCUCAGCCUCUCAAAAUGCUGCGGUUGCAGGCACGAGUCACUGUGCCUAGCCUACCCCCCACUUUUAGAUGGGGGUUUCUCUUGGGGAAUAACCUACCUCCAUCUCAUUAUGGAUGUGAGAAGGAAGCAGUCUAUAACCUGGAAGAGGAGGACCCUCACCAGAACCUCACCAUGUCGCCACCCUGAUCUCAGGUUUCCAGCCUCCAGAAGCAUGAGAAGGACCUGACCCAUAAUGAGGGGAAGAAGAAAAUGAGCCAAGCCAGUAACCCAUUUGUGUUAUGAGCACCCUCCUGGGCUCACAUGUCUUGAGCCCGGCACAGACCAGGUAACGAUGGAGACUACAGGGUUGCAGGACAUGAGAGAGCCAUGCACACAGAGCUCUGUGGUCAGGGUGGGAAUUUCAUGCCUCCAUUCAUUCAGCAGCCAUUCACUGAGAAUAAGUACCAUGAUGUAUCUGGGCCUGCAAGUAGCUUGGCUCAGUCAAUUCGGUUGAUGCUGUAACUUGACUGAGCUGGGCCUUGCAGCUGCUGAGGCCUCAGGAGCAGGCUGAGAAAGGGAGGGGACAGGCAUUGUAGCAAGGCUUGGACAGCAUACAUUUUUCCUAGGGGAUGUCUGAACACAAGACGAGGAAAUUUGAGAAGAAGGAAUGAUGACAUUCAUCUGGAAGAGCAGAGAAGACUUCCUGAAGGAGAUAGCAUUUCUUCUGGGCCUCAUGGAUGUGCCUGACUUAAAAACGUGAAGCCAGGUCGGGGAGAGCAUUCUAGGUGGAAAAAGAGUCUCAUCUAAAUGAACGUGCUCGUCUCUCCAACAUUUUCCUUUUGUCUUUUCAGCUGCCUCAAAGCAGGACUGUGAUCUUCCCCCACCUUUCUCAUGGAGGGCCUUAGAACCUUAGGACGUUGCCCAGGGAGGGCCCCACCCUGUACACUGGGGGAAGGGACACUGACAUCAUGAAGCUUCCGUAAGAAGAUAGGGGGUUGGGAGGCCAAGGCGGGCAGAUCAUCUGAGGUUGGGAGUUCGAGACCAGUCUGACCAACAUGGAAAAACCCCCUCUACUAAAAAUACAAAAUGAGCAGGGCGUGGUGGUGUAUGCCUGUAAUCCCAGCUACUCAGGAGGCUGAGGCAAGAGAAUCGCUUGAACCUGGUAGGCGGAGGUUGUGGUGAGCCAAGAUCAUGCCAUUGUGCUCCAGCCUGGGUGACAAGAGUGAAACUGUGUCUCAA